rnacentral:rRNA from 1 species
GAAUUUUGGACAAUGGGCGAAAGCCUGAUCCAGCAAUGCCGCGUGCAGGAUGAAGGCCUUCGGGUUGUAAACUGCUUUUGUACGGAACGAAAAGCUUUGGGUUAAUACCCUGGAGUCAUGACGGUACCGUAAGAAUAAGCACCGGCUAACUACGUUCCAGCAGCCCCGGUAAGACGUAGGGUGCAAGCGUUAAUCGGAAUUACUGGGCGUAAGGCGUGCGCAGGCGGUUUUGUAAGACAGAGGUGAAACCCCCGGGCUCAACCUGGGAACGGCCUUGGGAACUGCAAGGCUAGAGUCCGGCAGGGGGGGGUGGAAUCCCGCGUGUAGCGGUGAAAUGCGUAGAUAUGCGGAGGAACACCGAUGGCGAAGGCACCCCCCUGGGCCUGUACUGACGCUAAUGCACGAAAGCGUGGGAGCAAACAGG